rnacentral:rRNA from 1 species
CCUACGGGAGACUGCAGUGAGGAAUAUUGGUCAAUGGACGAGAGUCUGAACCAGCCAAGUAGCGUGAAGGAUGACUGCCCUAUGGGUUGUAAACUUCUUUUAUAUGGGAAUAAAAUGUUCCACGUGUGGGAUUUUGUAUGUCCCAUAUGAAUAAGGAUCGGCUAACUCCGUGCCAGCAGCCGCGGUAAUACGGAGGAUCCGAGCGUUAUCCGGAUUUAUUGGGUUUAAAGGGAACGUAGGUGGAUUGUUAAGUCAGUUGUGAAAGUUUGCGGCUCAACCGUAAAAUUGCAGUUGAAACUGGCAGUCGUGAGUACAGUAGAGGUGGGCGGAAUUCGUGGUGUAGCGGUGAAAUGCUUAGAUAUCACGAAGAACUCCGAUUGCGAAGGCAGCUCACUGGACUGCAACUGACACUGAGGCUCGAAAGUGUGGGUAUCAAACAGGAUUAGAUACCCCAGUAGUC